rnacentral:lncRNA from 1 species
AGGGAGACUCCGCUUGGAAUAAGAGAGAGAGAGAGAGAGGCUUAGAAUAAGAGAGAGAGAGAGAGAGCUCGCGCAGAAAAGAAAAAGGAAAGAGAGGAAAGAAGAGAAGGAAAAAGAAAGACGGGGUUUAUGCAAUACUCGCCAUGAACACUUCGCCAAGCCACAACGUGUGGUAAGUAUUUACACCCUUGUUCAUCUAAUCGGAAUAGCUUUCGAGGUUAGGGUACAAAUUCAAAAUUUUGUGAAAAUCGAGCAAGUCUUGAUUUGGCAUUGUGGGGCCGUAGGGUUUGUUGAGAGGCGGUUUAGAUCAACGGUUUGGUUGGAGUGAGAAUUUUGGGGUUUUGUGUGGAGGUUUUGUGUGCGAGUUCUGCGUUGCGUUUAGGUUUGAACAAUCGCUUCAAGCGAUUGAUUUAUUAGUGCGUAAGAGUUGUUUUAUUUAGUGUUUAAGCUUGGUAUAAUCAUUUCAUAAUUAAGGCAGAGUUUCACUUGAUUUUGACAUCGAUUCCUAUAUAAUAGGAUUAUGAGAUCGUUAGCUCAUUUAGCUAGCAUUGUUUGGUUUGGGCAUUCCCAAGUGAGUGUUGUUGUCUUUGAAUUUGUAAACUCAUAUUUUGAAAAUGAAAUAGAUUAGUUAUGUUAUGAGUUAAGAAUAAGCAUAUUUUCUUGCAUAAAUUGAAUCAAGCAUUUACUAUGAUUUACAUAUUAGAUAUGAAAAUGUUUGUCUUUGGAUUACAAUCUAAACGUGCCAAAAAAUAAGUUUGUGAAACCUUUUGGGAAAGACUCACAAGAAGUCCUUGACUUGAAAUAUGGUUUAUGAAAGGCUAUACCCCG